UUACAUGACUGUUGAUUUGCGGCCCAUGGAGAACUCACCAGUAACCAGGACUCAUCUUGGAUACUGGAAACAACAGAGUAAGUCCCGUUUGGAUAGUCACUUCUGAGGAGUCAACACUCAAAAUCUUGCCUCCAUUUUCUGUGCCAGCUGAGAGGUCCAUUGCCCACAGGUCAUUUGGUUGACAACAUUUCUCAUCUCCUUGAUUAUGGGGAUUAGUUCAGAGAUGGCCAUGCAUGCUGUGUAAUGAAUCUUAGGCCUGGGUUGUGAUUAGCAGAAGAGAAUCCUCCCUUCCCUCAGACAAUGUGGGGAGAUGCGGCAUGUGCCCAGAAGAAGUGCGCAUUGUGUUUUCAAAUGAGGGGAAGCUUGGACCUGCUGGGUGACCCCUUGUGAAGUCUAAAGAAGUAACUGGCAGACAGGAAGGCAGAGAGCAGAGACAGAAAGAGCAGCUUCCUGAUGGCAUCAUUUGUUUAAACCUUGCCUGAAACCAACAGUAGUUCUGAAGUUUUUGGUUAGAGAAGCCAUAAAUUUAUGUAUUAUUUAAGCCAGUUUGCACUGGGUUUUCUCUCCCUUGAAAUUGAAAAUAUCCUGACUGAUAGAAGAUCUUAGAUCACAG
rnacentral:lncRNA from 1 species